AUUGAACGCUGGCGGCAUGCCUUACACAUGCAAGUCGAACGGUAACGCGGGGCAACCUGGCGACGAGUGGCGAACGGGUGAGUAAUGCAUCGGAACGUGCCCAGUAGUGGGGGAUAGCUCGGCGAAAGCCGGAUUAAUACCGCAUACGACCUACGGGUGAAAGCGGGGGACCGUAAGGCCUCGCGCUAUUGGAGCGGCCGAUGUCAGAUUAGGUUGUUGGUGGGGUAAAGGCCUACCAAGCCGACGAUCUGUAGCUGGUCUGAGAGGACGACCAGCCACACUGGGACUGAGACACGGCCCAGACUCCUACGGGAGGCAGCAGUGGGGAAUUUUGGACAAUGGGGGCAACCCUGAUCCAGCCAUGCCGCGUGCGGGAAGAAGGCCUUCGGGUUGUAAACCGCUUUUGUCAGGGAAGAAACGCUUCGGGCUAAUACCUCGAGGUAAUGACGGUACCUGAAGAAUAAGCACCGGCUAACUACGUGCCAGCCGCCGCAGUAAGAC
rnacentral:rRNA from 1 species